rnacentral:piRNA from 1 species
UGGGUGGAAUUGAUGUUGGGAAGAUAGAUU